UACGGAGGGUGCAAGCGUUAUCCGGAUUCACUGGGUUUAAAGGGUGCGUAGGUGGGCUUGUAAGUCAGUGGUGAAAUCUCCGGGCUUAACUCGGAAACUGCCAUUGAUACUAUAAGUCUUGAAUACCAUGGAGGUGAGCGGAAUAUGUCAUGUAGCGGUGAAAUGCUUAGAUAUAUGGAAGAACAUCAAUAACGGCGAAGGCAGUUAACUAUUCUGUUACUGACGUUGAGGCACGAAAGCGUGGGGAGCAAAACGG
rnacentral:rRNA from 1 species